GUGCUCGCUUUGGCAGCACAUAUCCUAAAAUUGGAACAAUCCAGAGAAGAUUAGUGUGGCCCCUACACAAUAAUGACAUGUAAAUUCAUGAAGCGUUUCAUAUUUCU